UACAGAGGUCUCAAGCGUUGUUCGGAUUCAUUGGGCGUAAAGGGUGCGUAGGCGGCGCGGUAAGUCGGGUGUGAAAUCUCGGGGCUUAACUCCGAAACUGCAUUCGAUAACUGCUGUGCUUGAGGACUGGAGAGGAGACUGGAAUUUACGGUGUAGCGGUGAAAUGCGUAGAUAUCGUAAGGAAGACCAGUGGCGAAGGCGGGUCUCUGGACAGUUCCUGACGCUGAGGCACGAAGGCCAGGGGAGCAAACGGG
rnacentral:rRNA from 1 species